UACAGAGGGUGCAAGCGUUUGUUCGGAAUUAUUGGGCGUAAAGGGAGUGUAGGCGGCUUGUUAAGUCUUCUGUGAAAGCUACGGGCUUAGCCUGUAAAGUGCAGAGGAAACUGGCGAGCUUGAGUGUCGGAGAGGGUAGCGGAAUUCCCGGUGUAGAGGUGAAAUUCGUAGAGAUCGGGAGGAACACCAGUGGCGAAGGCGGCUACCUGGCUGACAACUGACGCUGAGACUCGAAAGCAUGGGGAGCGAACGGG
rnacentral:rRNA from 1 species